GAAACAAUCAAAGAUCUGUCAUUAAGACCAACUUAUAAUGAAAUUUUAGUGCUAGUUCACAAAAGUGAGAGGCAAAAGAUUCCUAUGUGACCUUCAAACUAGUUAGUCAAAAAAAUAACUGACAAUACAAUGGGAAAAAAACUUGAAGUCCAAAUGAGAAACAAUAGUAUUUAAAAUUCAACAUAGAAAACGGAAGAUUGAGCAAAAUAAACCACCAAAAACCUGGUGCUUCGAUAUAUAAAGGCAACAGUAGUAUACCGAUGUUCAAAACUCAUAAAUCGAUAGACAAAAACAAAUCUGGGUCAUACACCAAAACCGAGGGAAACGCAUUAAAUAAAAAGAAAUUACGACAACAUUAAAAUGUAACACACACAGAAACAAACUAAGCAUUAGACAAAAUCCUAUGCAAAUAACAAAUAUAACAUCAAAACUAAAUACAUGAAUUUGGGAUAGAAAAGUACCGUGACACGUCUUAUAAUAAUGUGAAUUCACACUCAAAUAUAAGAGGAAACAAACGACACAAAAGAAACACAACGUUAAAAUGUAACACACACAGAAACGAACUAUAAUAUAACAAUGACCUGACUUGGUACAGGACAUUUUUGAAAGAAAAAAAAUGGUGGGUUGAACCUGGUUUUGUGGCAUGCUAAACCUCCCUCUUUUAUGGCCAUGUGAAGUAUAACAUUAAAAUGACAACACAACAUUACAGGACUACAAUACAAAUAAAUAGGAUAACACAAUUGACAAAGAAACACGCGAAUAAUAGCUAACAAAGGCAACAGGUUUAAAAUUUAAUUCGCCAGUAGUGCAUUUUGUCCACACAAGACUUACUGGUGACGCCCAGAUACAAAAGUUUGAAAGACGAAACAAGUACAAAGUUGAACAGCAUCGAGGACCAAAAGUUCAAAAAAGUUGUGCCAAAAACGGCCAGGGUUUUCUGUUAGGUACCAGAACAUCCCUAUUAUUUAGAAUAAUUUAUACUUUUGCAAACAGUAAAUUUUAUAAAAUGACUAUAGAAAAGAUAUACAUGAUUAAACUGAAGUAUUAACUAAUUACAAGAAACAACCGAAAUACUUUACAUAACCCGACAAAAUGCAACACAAAAAAUAGACACAUCUGAAUAAGUAAAAAAAUUGUAAAAAAUGACAAAAAAAUGAACAAAACAGAAC
rnacentral:lncRNA from 1 species